rnacentral:tRNA from 1 species
GUCCUCGUAGCUCAAGGGAAGAGUACUGGUCUCCGAAGCCAGCGAUGAAGGUUCGAUUCCUUUCGGGGACGCCA